CAGAACUGUGAGAAAUGAACAUUUGUCAUUUAAACAACCUUGGAUAUUCUUGUUAGAGCAGGCAGAUACUCUUACCUCUCCUAUUCCUCAAAGCUACCCUGCAAGAUAAACAUUACCCAAAAGCUCAGGCGAGGAAAAGUGAGGUCGCUUGCUUAACAUCACACAGCUGUUUGGUGGCUCCUGUGGAGCAAAGGGAGGGAGCUUAUGCUUCACUGCCAGCACCACAAAGACAGCUUACCACAGAAGGGACUCUGCCUCAAGGGCUGAGGCCUCAGAGGCUUUACUGAUCCUCCCGUGACUCAGCGGUCCACCAAGGCGAGGGGCUUCUCUGACUGCUGGAUAUCAUCUCUGUGAGGCCGUACUCAACCUAUGUGUGGUAUCCUUCAUGUUAUAUAAAUUUGUAACCAACCAACCAAACCAGACAGAUGAGAGCUCCAGGGAGAAGAUCCUGAAAGAGCUCCCAGAUGCCUGCCGAAACCUCGGGUGCUGAGUUACUGACAAGAGAAAAGCCUUUCUAAGACCUUGGUUACCUAGAAGACAAUGAGCAAGACUGACCAGCUGUGAGGCCUGCAUUUCCUGGCUCAUCAGCACUCAGUCACAUUUCUCUCUCUCCCAGAGGCCUCAUGACAACACUUAUGGAUGGUCAGGAGAGCUGCAGCCCCGAGAACCUUCUGUAUGGUCAGAUUUAAGAGCUACAAGCAGCUGGGUGAGACCCUCAGAGGUACCCACUACAACACCAGGACCAGUAGAUUUAUACUUUUCUGUAUUCCAAACUAAGAGUAGAAUUCUAAACCUUGCUUCGCAGGGGCACUAGUGGUAAAGAACCUGCUUGCCAGUGCAGGAGACACAAGAGACCUGGGUUUGAUCCCUGGGUCAGGAAGAUCCCCUGAAGAAGGAAAUGGCAACCCACUCCAGUUUUCUUGCCUGGAAAAUUCCAUGGACAAAGGAGCCUGGUGGGUUAUAGUCCACAGGGUCUCAAAGAGUUGGACACAACUGAAGCAACUUAGCAUUCAAUGUAGAGUGAACAUAACCCUUGAAACCAUGAUAUGUCCAGAUUAUUCACGUAUUUUCCUAUCAUUAAAUCAUCUUUACCUGUUGUUUUCA